UUUAGGUUAGGCCUAUUUCUUAAUUCUAACUUAAUUCUACUUAAUACUACUUGCUCUCAGCCGGGAUCACAAGGGACGAAUGAGUACCCUUACUCUCGAUACGCAGUAGCGUGACGUCGUGUGGUAUCUCGUCGGCUUGUGGUUCUGGCUCAGCAUCGCCGAUCCGUAUCCAGGGCUUCAACCUGUCGGAGGAAAGGAUCGUGUCAAGGGGCUUUUGGGUGUGGCUGAAACCAGGUCAGAUUCCGUUUCCGCCAGCGCUUUCGUGAGCUGAGCGAGCGCGAAAUCUGAGUGGUUCCGCAGGUCGUAGCCAAGCAGCAACUUAGCGGGAGUGGUUUUCACGCCUGAGUGGUGAGUAUUAUUUAUUACAUAUUGAAUCGUGCCUAAUUUCGGUUUCCACUCGGCCGGCUCGAUAAUCAAUUUAAUGAGUGACGUCUUUAUAAAUCGAUUCACCCGUUCGACUAUGCCGUUAGCCCACGGGGCGGCC